UACGUAGGGGGCAAGCGUUGUCCGGAAUCAUUGGGCGUAAAGAGCUCGUAGGCGGUUUGUCGCGUCUGCUGUGAAAACCCGAGGCUCAACCUCGGGCCUGCAGUGGGUACGGGCAGACUAGAGUGCGGUAGGGGAGAUUGGAAUUCCUGGUGUAGCGGUGGAAUGCGCAGAUAUCAGGAGGAACACCAAUGGCGAAGGCAGAUCUCUGGGCCGUAACUGACGCUGAGGAGCGAAAGCAUGGGGGAGCGAACAGG
rnacentral:rRNA from 1 species